rnacentral:rRNA from 1 species
UACGAAGGGGGCUAGCGUUGCUCGGAAUCACUGGGCGUAAAGGGUGCGUAGGCGGGUCCUUAAGUCCGGGGGGAAAUCCUGGAGCUCAACUCCAGAACUGCCUUUGAUACUGAAGAUCUUGAGUUCGGGAGAGGUGAGUGGAACUGCGAGUGUAGAGGUGAAAUUCGUAGAUAUUCGCAAGAACACCAGUGGCGAAGGCGGCUCACUGGCCCGAUACUGACGCUGAGGCACGAAAGCGUGGGGAGCAAACAGG